rnacentral:rRNA from 1 species
GACAGAGGUGGCGAGCGUUGUUCGGAAUUACUGGGCUUAAAGGGCGAGUAGGCUUCCCGGUAAGUCAGAUGUGGAAUCUUUUCGCUUAACGAAAAAAUUGCAUCUGAAACUAUCGAGAUUGAGUCAGUGAGGGGAGGGCGGAAUUCCUGGCGUAGCGGUGAAAUGCGUAGAUAUCAGGAGGAAGGCCUGUGGCGAAGGCGGCCCUCUGGCACUGUACUGACGCUGAGGCGCGAAAGCGUGGGGAGCAAACAGGAUUAGAUCCCAUGGUAGUCCACGCCCUAAAGGGUGGGCAUUAGGUGUAGGGCUCGUAAGGGUUCUGUGCCGAAGGGAAACCAUUACAGGCCCCGCCUGGGGAGUACGGCCGCAAGGUUGAAACUUAACGGAAUUGACGG